AGCCUAAACCCUCCAUUCGGAAGGCAUGGCUUAAAAUCCCACUAAGAUACUGAUCCCGUCGUUCAGCAUCUUAGUGGGUCAUGCCUCGAAAGGGGUAUGGGGCCUUAGGCCC
rnacentral:sRNA from 12 species